rnacentral:rRNA from 1 species
UUAAGUAAGUAAGGGCGUACGGCGGAUGCCUUGGCCAUAUCAGCCGAAGAAGGACGCGAUAAGCUGCGAUAAGCUGCGGUGAGGUGCAAGUAACCAGUGACCCGCAGAUUUCCGAAUGGGGAAACCCGGCAGUAGUAGUACUGUCACCUCUCGAAUGGGAGGAGGGCACCCGGUGAACUGAAACAUCUAAGUAGCCGGAGGAAGAGGAAUCAAAAGAGAUGCCCCCAGUAGCGGCGAGCGAAGCGGGCAAAGCCCAAACCGGAGCGGGAAACCGCACCGGGGUUGAGGACUACCAACAAGUACCUAGAUGAAGUCGAAUCAGGUGGGAACCUGAGCCAGAGACGGUGAGAGCCCGGUAGACGUAAAGAAGGGUAUGGGGUAGUAUCCAGAGUACCACGGGGCACGAGGAACCUUGUGGGAAGCAGGGGGGACCACCCUCCAAGGCGAAAUACUGAUAUGGACCGAUAGCGCAUAGUACCGUGAGGGAAAGGUGAAAAGAACCCCGGGAGGGGAAUGAAAGAGAACCUGAAACCGUAUGUCUACAAGCAGUCGAAGCACCGUAUGCGUGCGACGGCGUGCCUAUUGAAGAAUGAACCGGCGAGUUAUUUCAUCCGGCGAGGUUAAGCGGAAGACGCGGAGCCGAAGCGAAAGCGAGUCUGAACAGGGCGACAAGUCGGAUGGAAUAGACCCGAAACCACAGUGAUCUAUCCAUGCCCAGGUUGAAGCACAGGUAAAAAUGUGUGGAGGACCGAACCAGUGAGCGUUGAAAAGCUUUUGGAUGAGGUGUGGAUAGGGGUGAAAUGCCAAUCGAACGUGGAGAUAGCUGGUUCUCCCCGAAAUAGCUUUAGGGCUAGCCUCAUGGCAAGAGUGCAGGCGGUAGAGCACUGAACAGGGUAGGGGCCUAUCCGGCUACCGAACCUAAUCAAACUACGAAUGGCUGUACUUAUCCAUGGGAGUCAGACUGCGAGUGAUAAGACCCGUAGUCAAGAGGGAAACAGCCCAGACCAACAGCUAAGGUCCCCAAUGCCGUACUAAGUGGUAAAGGAUGUGGAGUUUCGAAAACAACCAGGAUGUUGGCUUAGAAGCAGCCACCAUUAAAAGAGUGCGUAAUAGCUCACUGGUCGAGAGACUCUGCGCCGAAGAUGACCGGGGCUAAAGUACGGAACCGAAGCUUUGGCAUGUAUGAAAAUACAUGGGUAGGGGAGCGUUCCUGCAUGGGCGAAGCCUGACCGGAAGGACAGGUGGACAGGCAGGAAGUGAGAAUGCCGGUAUGAGUAGCGAAAAGAAAGGUGAGAAUCCUUUCCACCGAAAGCCUAAGGGUUCCUGGGCAACGAUCGUCGACCCAGGGUAAGUCGGGACCUAAUCCGAGGCGAAGACGCAUAGGAGAUGGACAACAGGUUGAAAUUCCUGUACCGACGUCGUCUGUUUGAGCGAUGGAGUGACACAAGAAGGAAAGUUCGCAUGCGAUUGGAAGAGCAUGUCUAAGCAGGUAGGUUGAAUACCAGGCAAAUCCGGUAUUCUAAAAGCCGAGAAGUGAUAGGGAGCCUGUAGAGAUACAGGUGAAGGAACCGGGACUCAAUUGUCAAGAAAAGCUUCUAGUGAGGACGACGCCGCCCGUACCAAAACCGACACAGGUAGGCAAGAAGAGAAUUCUAAGGUGCGCGGGAAAACCCUCGUUAAGGAACUCGGCAAAAUGCAUCCGUAACUUCGGGAAAAGGAUGGCCGUCUAGGGUGAAGACAUAUACUGUUGGAGCGUUGGGCGGCGGCAGAAAAGAGGCCCAAGCGACUGUUUACCACAAACACAGGUGCCUGCGAAAGCGCAAGCUGAAGUAUAGGUGCUGACGCCUGCCCGGUGCAGGAAGGUUAAGGAGAGUUGUUAGUCCUAGAGAUGAAGCAGCGAACUGAAGCCCCUGUAAACGGCGGCCGUAACUAUAACGGUCCUAAGGUAGCGAAAUUCCUUGUCGGG